AUAAUUUGUAUAGAGACACGGUAGUGCCUCGUCGUGACGUAAGGGCUGAAUGGCGGCAAUUUAUGUUUGGCGCACGAGACACUACCGUAUCUCUUGAUUAUACGACUAUUCUAUUAAAUAACUUUUGGCAAGGAUUAUACAAAUAGUUCGUUAAUAUGUAUUUAAUUGUAACGAUUGCAAUAAGGAACAAUGGCAUGAAUACCAAAUAGCGAGAGCAUUCGAAUACUAUUAAAAUUAAGACGUAUGGACAAUAUGAGAUUUCCAAAUGUCAAUGUUCAACAUUAUGAAAAAGACGGCAAUAGUACAGAUAUGAUGAUGACUGAACAGCAACCACAACAGGGGCGAAGGCCAGUACGCAACAGACAAAAAAGAGAGCUAGGAACCCUCCAGUGCCAGGUCGUCCUCGAGAGAGACCUAUAUAACCUAGAGAAAAGGUGCGGUUGCACCGGCAGUAUAUCGUCCACCGGUUGCAAGAAACCUCUGUGUAAUAUGUUUAAGCUCUGAGGCUACAAUAGUUAUUUCACCGUGUGGACACAUUUGUGCAUGGCGACAAUAAGAAGAAUAAACCAACAUAGUGAUAAUUCAGAUGAUGAAAAUCAAGGACUGGAACGAUACAUGACAUGCAGAAAACAAAUAAUUACGACUAAUCGAGUAUUUUUUUAGUUUAUGAGUUCGAAAAGUUCAGGUUAAUUAUUCCAAUAUAAUACUUAAGUUAGGUAUGAUUGGAAAAAUUUUUACUAAAGUUAAUUAUAUUCAAGUUAGUUAAGAUUAAAACUAUAUUUGUUAUUUAAAGUGAAUUGAUUAAAAGUUAUUCGUUAUUAAAGAUAAGUCAACAACAAAAUAAUAGAGUGUUUAAU